rnacentral:rRNA from 1 species
AUUGAACGCUGGCGGAAUGCUUUACACAUGCAAGUCGAACGGCAGCACGGGUGCUUGCACCUGGUGGCGAGUGGCGAACGGGUGAGUAAUGCACCGGAACGUAUCCAAUAAUGGGGGAUAACGCACCGAAAGGUGUGCUAAUACCGCAUACGCCCUGAGGGGGAAAGCGGGGGAUCGUAAGACCUCGCGUUAAUGGAGCGGCCGAUGCCGGAUUAGCUAGUUGGUGAGGUAAAGGCUCACCAAGGCGACGAUCCGUAGCUGGUCUGAGAGGACGACCAGCCACACUGGAACUGAGACACGGUCCAGACUCCUACGGGAGGCAGCAGUGGGGAAUUUUGGACAAUGGGCGCAAGCCUGAUCCAGCCAUUCCGCGUGAGUGAAGAAGGCCUUCGGGUUGUAAAGG